rnacentral:rRNA from 1 species
CUGCUGUCGAGCGGAAAGGCCCCUUCGGGGGUACUCGAGCGGCGAACGGGUGAGUAACACGUGAGCAACCUGCCCCUGACUUCGGGAUAAGCCCGGGAAACUGGGUCUAAUACCGGAUAUGACCAUUGCCCGCAUGGGUUGGUGGUGGAAAGUUUUUUCGGUUGGGGAUGGGCUCGCGGCCUAUCAGCUUGUUGGUGGGGUGAUGGCCUACCAAGGCGACGACGGGUAACCGGCCUGAGAGGGCGACCGGUCACACUGGGACUGAAACACGGCCCAGACUCCUACGGGAGGCAGCAGUGGGGAAUAUUGCGCAAUGGGCGGAAGCCUGACGCAACGACGCCGCGUGGGGGAUGACGGCCUUCGGGUUGUAAACCUCUUUCAGCAUCGACGAAACCUUCGGGUGACGGUAGGUGCAGAAGAAACGCCGGCUAACUACGUGCCAGCAGCGAGG